ACGGGAGGCAGCAGUGGGGAAUAUUGCACAAUGGGCGCAAGCCUGAUGCAGCGACGCCGCGUGAGGGAUGACGGCCUUCGGGUUGUAAACCUCUUUCAGCAGGGAAGAAGCCUUUUGGGGUGACGGUACCUGCAGAAGAAGCACCGGCUAACUACGUGCCAGCAGCCGCGGUAAUACGUAGGGUGCGAGCGUUGUCCGGAAUUAUUGGGCGUAAAGAGCUUGUAGGCGGUUUGUCGCGUCUGCUGUGAAAAUCCGGGGCUCAACCCCGGACUUGCAGUGGGUACGGGCAGACUGGAGUGUGGUAGGGGAGACUGGAAUUCCUGGUGUAGCGGUGGAAUGCGCAGAUAUCAGGAGGAACACCGAUGGCGAAGGCAGGUCUCUGGGCCACUACUGACGCUGAGAAGCGAAAGCAUGGGGAGCGAACAGGAUUAGAUACCCUGGUA
rnacentral:rRNA from 1 species